rnacentral:rRNA from 1 species
GACAGAGGGGGCAAGCGUUGUCCGGAAUCACUGGGCGUAAAGCGCGCGUAGGUGGCACGGUACGUGUGGUGUGAAAGCGGACGGCUUAACCGUCCGAGGCCAUCACAGACUGCCGAGCUCGAGCCGUUCAGAGGUCAGCGGAAUUGCCGGUGUAGGAGUGAAAUCCGUAGAUACCGGCAGGAACACCCAAGGGGAAGCCAGCUGACUGGGGAACGCGCUGACACUGAGGUGCGAUAGCGAUGGGGAGCGAACCGG